GUAAUGGUUUCGACAGGGAUCAUGAAGCGAAAGAAGCGAGCCGAUAGCCAUACGUAAAAUGGCAAAAUUAAAUUUAAUUGCUAAAGACGAAAAAUUAGCAUUAGCUGCCUAGUUGCAGCUAGUCUUACCUAGCGCACCUACACGUUGGGAUUAAGGCUUCAAACUAUGUAGGAAACGGCAUAUACUAAGCUUUGCGUAUGUGUACGUAUCAUGAAGCUACUAAGACAAUUAGAGUGUUUGUUCUCGGGUUGUUGAGGGAAAUCUAAAUAACAAACUACGCUCGUAGAAGAGUCGGGGAUUGGUUUUUGGACAGGGGUUCGACUCCCCUCUAGUCCACU
rnacentral:tmRNA from 1 species